rnacentral:rRNA from 1 species
CAGUGGCGUACGGGUGAGUAACACGUGGAUCAUCUGCCUCUUGAUGGGGAAUAACCCUGGGAAACCGGGGCUAAUACCGCAUAAGCCUGAAAAGGGAAAGCAGCAAUGCGUCGAGAGAGGAGUCCGCGGCCGAUUAGCUAGUUGGUAGGGUAAUGGCCUACCAAGGCAAUGAUCGGUAGCCGGCCUGAGAGGGCACACGGCCACACUGGCACUGAAACACGGGCCAGACUCCUACGGGAGGCAGCAGUGGGGAAUCUUGCACAAUGGAGGAAACUCUGAUGCAGCGACGCCGCGUGAGCGAUGAAGCCCUUCGGGGUGUAAAGCUCUUUCGGCAGGAACGAUAAUGACGGUACCUGCAGAAGAAGCUGCGGCUAACUACGUGCCAGCAGCCGCGGUAAUACGUAGGCAGCAAGCGUUGUUCGGAAUUACUGGGCGUAAAGAGUGUGUAGGCGGUUCUCUAAGUUCCGUGUGAAAUCUCCCGGCUUAACUGGGAGGGUGCGCGGAAAACUGGAGGGCUCGAGUAUGGGAGAGGAAAGCGGAAUUCCUGGUGUAGCGGUGAAAUGCGUAGAUAUCAGGAGGAACACCUGCAGUGUAGACAGCUUUCUGGACCAUCAC